GUGAAAGGAACCUACAAACCAGGACGUUUACCUCAGAAGCCCAUCUGGAAAGUGUUUUUAGAGUUAGAGCUUUAUAAAGACAUGUAUAAACUUGCAGUUCAUCAGACAACAGUCUGGCAAAGCAACGAGGAAAAGAAAGGCACACCGAUACAUGGGCCCCUCGUAAGCUCGAGCACAGCAGCCAAGAUCUGUGGCAGAAAACAAACACACCCCAAGCCUCGGAGGAAAGUCUCUUCAAAGCAUUUAUUUGCUAUUAUCGAUAGCAGGCAAUGGUGCGUUUUCUUGUGUGAGGUCAUCUGCCACUCAAAUAAACGAAGACCGUGGAAACGAUAUGAAGGUCUGUGUGAUGCUGCAGAUGCAAAGCACAGCAAUAGGUGUCAUAACUAAUAUUUCUUUUCACUGCAACUAUUUCCCAAGUUGUUGAUUUUACUUUGCCAUGCUGUGUCAGAAGAGAGACGCAUAAUCUGCUCCAAAAUAGCUAAUCCUGUCUGAUUGGGUGGGGAGUGGGGGAGACGCCCAGAUGGAACUGGAGCAAGGAGAGAAACCGCUUAAUUUCCAAUUCAAAUCAAAAUUAGAAUUACACAAAUUGCGGUUGUGUUUUUAUACAGUUUGCUACAUAAACAUAACAGACAAAUACAACAAAGUGCAAAGAGACAGUUGUAAGCAUUACAACUAAGUCAAAAUAAACAGUAAUACAUGUUCUA